rnacentral:rRNA from 1 species
AUUGAACGCUGGCGGCAGGCCUAACACAUGCAAGUCGAACGAGUGGCGGACGGGUGAGUAAUGUCUGGGAAACUGCCUGAUGGAGGGGGAUAACUACUGGAAACGGUAGCUAAUACCGCAUACCAUCAGAUGUGCCCAGAUGGGAUUAGCUUGUUGGUGGGGUAACGGCUCACCUAGGCGACGAUCCCUAGCUGGUCUGAGAGGAUGACCAGCCACACUUGAACUUGGACACGGUCCAGAGUCCUACGGGAGGCAGCAGUGGGGAAUAUUGCACAAUGGGCGCAAGCCUGAUGCAGCCAUGCCGCGUGUAUGAAGAAGGCCUUCGGGUUGUAAAGUACUUUCAGCGAGGAGGCGUUACUCGCAGAAGAAGCACCGACUAACUCCGUGCCAGCAGCCGCGGUAAUAC